rnacentral:rRNA from 1 species
UACGGGGGGGGGCAAGCGUUGUUCGGAAUUACUGGGCGUAAAGGGCUCGUAGGCGGCCAACUAAGUCGGACGUGAAAUCCCCCAGGCUCAACCUGGGAACUGCGUCCGAUACUGGAUGGCUUGAAUCCGGGAGAGGGAUGCAGAAUUCCAGGUGUAGCGGUGAAAUGCGUAGAUAUCUGGAGGAAUACCGGUGGCGAAGGCGGCAUCCUGGACCGGCAUUGACGCUGAGGAGCGAAAGCCAGGGGAGCAAACGGGG